CCUACGGGUGGCAGCAGUGAGGAAUAUUGGUCAAUGGCCGAGAGGCUGAACCAGCCAAGUCGCGUGAGGGAAGACGGCCCUACGGGUUGUAAACCUCUUUUGUCGGGGAGCAAAGAGAGUCACGUGUGACUCAUUGAGAGUACCCGAAGAAAAAGCAUCGGCUAACUCCGUGCCAGCAGCCGCGGUAAUACGGAGGAUGCGAGCGUUAUCCGGAUUUAUUGGGUUUAAGGGGUGCGCAGGCGUAGGUGCAAGUCAGCGGUCAAAUUGCGGGGCUCAACCCCGUACUGCCGUUGAAACUGCAUCCCUUGAGUGCGCGAGAAGUAUGCGGAAUGCGUGGUGUAGCGGUGAAAUGCAUAGAUAGCACGAGGAACCCCGAUUGCGAAGGCAGCCUGCCGGGGUGCGACUGACGCUGAGGCUCGAAGGUGCGGGUAUCAAACAGGAUUAGAUACCCCUGUAGUC
rnacentral:rRNA from 1 species